AAAUUGAAGAGUUUGAUCAUGGCUCAGAUUGAACGCUGGCGGCAGGCCUAACACAUGCAAGUCGAACGGUAGCACAGAGAGCUUGCUCUCGGGUGACGAGUGGCGGACGGGUGAGUAAUGUCUGGGAAACUGCCUGAUGGAGGGGGAUAACUACUGGAAACGGUGGCUAAUACCGCAU
rnacentral:rRNA from 7 species